UACGUAGGGUGCAAGCGUUAAUCGGAAUUACUGGGCGUAAAGCGUGCGCAGGCGGCUUUGCAAGACAGAUGUGAAAUCCCCGGGCUUAACCUGGGAACUGCAUUUGUGACUGCAAGGCUGGAGUGCGGCAGAGGGGGAUGGAAUUCCGCGUGUAGCAGUGAAAUGCGUAGAUAUGCGGAGGAACACCGAUGGCGAAGGCAAUCCCCUGGGCCGGCACUGACGCUCAUGCACGAAAGCGUGGGGAGCAAACAGG
rnacentral:rRNA from 1 species